rnacentral:rRNA from 1 species
GCGAACGCUGGCGGCGUGCUUAACACCUGCAAGUCGAACGGAAAGGCCCUGCUUUUGUGGGGUGCUCGAGUGGCGAACGGGUGAGUAACACGUGAGUAACCUGCCCUUGACUUUGGGAUAACUUCAUGAAACUGGGGCUAAUACCGGAUAGGAGCUCCUGCUGCAUGGUGGGGGUUGGAAAGUUUCGGCGGUUGGGGAUGGACUCGCGGCUUAUCAGCUUGUUGGUGGGGUAGUGGCUUACCAAGGCUUUGACGGGUAGCCGGCCUGAGAGGGUGACCGGCCACAUUGGGACUGAGAUACGGCCCAGACUCCUACGGGAGGCAGCAGUGGGGAAUAUUGCACAAUGGGCGGAAGCCUGAUGCAGCAACGCCGCGUGCGGGAUGACGGCCUUCGGGUUGUAAACCGCUUUCGCCUGUGACGAAGCGUGAGUGACGGUAAUGGGUAAAGAAGCACCGGCUAACUACGUG